AUUGAACGCUGGCGGCAUGCCUUACACAUGCAAGUCGAACGGCAGCACGGGAGCAAUCCUGGUGGCGAGUGGCGAACGGGUGAGUAAUAUAUCGGAACGUGCCCAGUCGUGGGGGAUAACGUAGCGAAAGCAACGCUAAUACCGCAUACGAUCUAUGGAUGAAAGCGGGGGAUCGCAAGACCUCGCGCGAUUGGAGCGGCCGAUAUCAGAUUAGGUAGUUGGUGAGGUAAAGGCUCACCAAGCCGACGAUCUGUAGGUGGUCUGAGAGGAAGGCUGGCCACACUGGGACGGAGACACGGCCCAGACUCCUCCGGGAGGCAGCAGUGGGGAAUUUUGGACAAUGGGCGCAAGCCUGAUCCAGCAAUGCCGCGUGCAGGAUGAAGGCCUUCGGGUUGUAAACUGCUUUUGUACGGAACGAAACGGCGAGCUCUAAUACAGCUUGCUAAUGACGGUACCGUAAGAAUAAGCACCGGCUAACUACGUGCCAGCCGCCGCCGUAA
rnacentral:rRNA from 1 species